CCCUUAGAUGUCCUGGGCCGCACGCGCGCUACACUGACAUGUUCAACAAGCCUCCUAGUUCGACAGGAUUUGGGAAAUCUUUGAACGCAUGUCGUGAUAGGGAUAGAUCAUUGCAAUUAUUGAUCUUGAACGAGGAAUUCCUAGUAAACGCGAGUCAUCAGCUCGCAUUGAUUACGUCCCUGCCCUUUGUACACACCGCCCGUCGCACCUACCGAUUGAAUGUUUCGGUGAAGAUUCCGGAUAGGACUUUUUUGAUUUAUUUCAAUUUUGUCUUAAAAGAUAUCUAAACCUAAACAUUUAGAGGAAGGUGAAGUCGUAACA
rnacentral:rRNA from 1 species